GCUAAGAAUCUUCCGCAAUGGGCGAAAGCCUGACGGAGCGACGCCGCGUGGACGAUGAAGGCCGGAAGGUUGUAAAGUCCUUUUCCUGGGGAGGAAUAAGGUGGGGAGGGAAUGCCCUACUGAUGACGUGAACCAGGGAAUAAGCCCCGGCUAAUUACGUGCCAGCAGCCGCGGUAACACGUAAGGGGCGAGCGUUGUUCGGAUUUAUUGGGCGUAAAGGGCGUGUAGGCGGUAGUGUAAGUCUGGUGUGAAAGGUCCCGGCUCAACCGGGAACGCGCGCUGGAAACUGUACUACUUGAGUUUAGGAGGGGGAGCUGGAAUUCCUGGUGUAGGGGUGAAAUCUGUAGAGAUCAGGAAGAACACCGGUGGCGAAGGCGAGCUCCUGGCCAUAGACUGACGCUGAGGCGCGAAAGCGUGGGGAGCGAACAGGAUUAGAAACCCUAGUAGUCC
rnacentral:rRNA from 1 species